UCUCCGUUGGUGAACCAGCGGAGGGAUCAUUACAAGUAGAGUUUACGAACUCUUAAACCCUUUGUGAACCUUACCUAUCGUUGCUUCGGCGGGAUCGCCCCGGGCCGCCCCUUCACGGGGGCCUCCGGAACCAGGCGCCCGCCGGAGAACCCAAACUCUUGUUUUAUAUGGUUUUCUCCUCUGAGUGGAUUAUAAACAAAUAAAUCAAAACUUUCAACAACGGAUCUCUUGGUUCUGGCAUCGAUGAAGAACGCAGC
rnacentral:misc_RNA from 1 species